AUGGCAGCCGAUGAUCAGCCAAGGAGGAGCAGGAGGUACGCGCUGCUGCUGGCGGCGCGGGACUCGGAGUACGUGCUCAAGGCGUACGGAGGCUACUUCAAUGUCUUCGUGAGUGCGUUUGGCUCUGGCGACGACGGCGAUGGCAACGGCGACGUCUGCGAGACGUGGGACAUGUUCCGGGCGGUGGACGGGGAGCUCCCCGACCUGGACGACAUCGGAUGUUACGACGGCUUCGUCAUCAGCGGCAGCCCUUACGACGCGUACGCCGACGAGCUGUGGAUACUGCGGCUGUGCCUCCUCGUCCAGGAGGCCGUCGCCGCCCGGAAGCGCGUCCUCGGCAUCUGCUUCGGCCACCAGGUGGUAUGUCGCGCUCUGGGCGGCCGCGUCGGGAAGGCCAGGCGCGGCGGGUGGGACAUCGGCAUCCGGGAGGUGGCCAUGGCGGCGACGCUGCCGCCGUGGAGGUUCCUCGACGCGCUGCGGGACCUUCCCCAGUACGCCAAGAUCACCGAGUGCCACCAGGACGAGGUCUGGGAGGCGCCGCUGGGCGCCGACGUGCUGGCGUCCUCGGACAAAACCGGUGUGGAGAUGUUCUGCGUCGGCGACCACGUGCUGGGAAUCCAGGGCCACCCGGAGUACACCGGCGACAUACUCCUCAGCCUCGUCGACCGCCUCUCCACCAGCCAAUCCAUCACCUUGUCGUUCGCUGGGGAUGUGAAGAGGCAACUGGAGGCUACUAGCCCUGACAGAGAGUUCUGGCUCAAGCUCUGCAAAAGUUUCCUCAAGACUGAAGAAUCAUACUACUAG
rnacentral:rRNA from 1 species